rnacentral:tRNA from 1 species
GCCGGGAUGGCGGAAUUGGCAGACGCACGGGAUUCAAGACCCCGCGCCGCAAGGCAUGAGAGUUCGAUUCUCUCCCCCGGCA